UACGGAGGGUGCAAGCGUUAUCCGGAUUCACUGGGUUUAAGGGGUGCGUAGGCGGAUAGGUAAGUCCGUGGUGAAAUCCUGCAGCUUAACUGCAGAACUGCCGUGGAUACUAUCUAUCUUGAAUGUCGUGGAGGUUAGCGGAAUAUGUCAUGUAGCGGUGAAAUGCUUAGAUAUGACAUAGAACACCCAUUGCGAAGGCAGCUAACUACGCGAUAAUUGACGCUGAUGCACGAAAGCGUGGGGAUCAAACAGG
rnacentral:rRNA from 1 species